ACUAGUUAAGUAGUUAAAAUUUUAAAAAGUUAUAAUAAAAUUUAAAAAAGGGUGGUCAAGUGGAUGUCACUCUGCUGUACAGUAGGUUACACGAUGGAGGCUAUGGUGAUGGAGGUGGACCGAUUUGGCGUCUUAGGUAUAAAUAUUUCAUUACCAUGCGCAAUACACGGGCAGCUAUAGGAUUGGUUUUAAUGAGGUCUAAUACCAGAUUGUACCUACGCCGACAAUAUCUCACAAUUGACUAAAAGAAAACUUAGGGGAAGUAAAAGGUAAUAACCUGGCAGAAAUGAAACCAACAACAUUGUAGUCGACUCUCUGGAAACACCUCUUGUACAGCAUUCAUCAGCCCACGCUCAUAAUCUGUGAUUAUUGUAAGACCAUCAUAAUUUAAUGGUAACAUAUUUCUAACUACCAGAAAGAAAGUGAUGUAUGCUUGUUCUGUAGUCGUGGACAAGAGUGCAUAUACAAUUGGAAAUGACUAGUGAACUCGGAGUGGUCUUAAAUGUUCCGUCACAACCUACAUAAGUUACAGUGCGUAACUCUUCGUUAAACAUUGCUAUCAAAUCUAAAUUUGCAAAUAUUACACCGAUUGU